rnacentral:rRNA from 1 species
GACGAACGCUGGCGGCGUGCUUAACACAUGCAAGUCGAACGGAAAGGCCCUGCUUUUGUGGGGUGCUCGAGUGGCGAACGGGUGAGUAACACGUGAGUAACCUGCCCUUGACUUUGGGAUAACUUCAGGAAACUGGGGCUAAUACCGGAUAGGAGCUCCUGCUGCAUGGUGGGGGUUGGAAAGUUUCGGCGGGUGGGGAUGGACUCGCGGCUUAUCAGCUUGUUGGUGGGGUAGUGGCUUACCAAGGCUUUGACGGGUAGCCGGCCUGAGAGGGUGACCGGCCACAUUGGGACUGAGAUACGGCCCAGACUCCUACGGGAGGCAGCAGUGGGGAAUAUUGCCCAAUGGGCGGGAGCCUGAUGCAGCAACGCCGCGUGCGGGAUGACGGCCUUCGGGUUGUAAACCGCUUUCGCCUGUGACGAAGCGUGAGUGACGGUAAUGGGUAAAGAAGCACCGGCUAACUACGUG